AGAGCGAACGCUGGCGGCAGGCUUAACACAUGCAAGUCGAGCGGGCGUAGCAAUACGUCAGCGGCAGACGGGUGAGUAACGCGUGGGAACGUACCUUUUGGCUCGGAACAACACAGGGAAACUUGUGCUAAUACCGGAUAAGCCCUUACGGGGAAAGAUUUAUCGCCAAAAGAUCGGCCCGCGUCUGAUUAGCUAGUUGGUGAGGUAACGGCUCACCAAGGCGACGAUCAGUAGCUGGUCUGAGAGGAUGAUCAGCCACAUUGGGACUGAGACACGGCCCAAACUCCUACGGGAGGCAGCAGUGGGAAUAUUGGACAAUGGGCGCAAGCCUGAUCCAGCCAUGCCGCGUGAGUGAUGAAGGCCCUAGGGUUGUAAAGCUCUUUUGUGCGGGAAGAUAAUGACGGUACCGCAAGAAUAAGCCCCGGACUAACUUCGCGCCAGCAGCCGC
rnacentral:rRNA from 1 species